CCUACGGGUGGCAGCAGUGAGGAAUAUUGGUCAAUGGGCGCGAGCCUGAACCAGCCACGUCGCGUGAGGGAAGACGGUCCUAUGGAUUGUAAACCUCAUUUGUCGGGGAGCAAAAGACGCCACGCGUGGCUUUCCGAGAGUACCCGACGAAAAAGCAUCGGCUAACUCCGUGCCAGCAGCCGCGGUAAUACGGGGGAUGCGAGCGUUAUCCGGAGUUAUUGGGUUUAAAGGGAGCGCAGGCGGAAGAUCAAGUCAGCGGUAAAAUUGAGAGGCUCAACCUCUUCGAGCCGUUGAAACUGGUUGUCUUGAGUGAGUGAGAAGUAGGCGGAAUGCGUGGUGUAGCGGUGAAAUGCAUAGAUAUCACGCAGAACUCCGAUUGCGAAGGCAGCAUACCGGCGCUCAACUGACGCUCAUGCACGAAAGUAUGGGUAUCGAACAGGAUUAGAUACCCUUGUAGUC
rnacentral:rRNA from 1 species